UACGAAGGGGGCUAGCGUUGCUCGGAAUCACUGGGCGUAAAGGGUGCGUAGGCGGGUUUUUAAGUCAGGGGUGAAAUCCUGGAGCUCAACCCUGGAAUGCCGAUGGAAACUGUCAGGCUCGAGUCCGGAAGAGGCGAGUGGAAUUCCUGGUGUAGCGGUGAAAUGCGCAGGAUAUCAGGAGGAACACCGGUGGCGAAGGCGGGUCUCGUGGGCCGAUGACUGACGCUGAGGAGCGAAAGCGUGGGGAGCGAACAGG
rnacentral:rRNA from 1 species